UGCACGGGGCAGCUGUGGCAUACGCAAACGAUGACACACAGGUUUGACGAGGGCCUUUGUCAGAAGCAAUGGGAUCUGGCUGGCGUCACCACCGAAUGGAAAACAAAGUGCUUCUGCCUGACUGACCGGAGAUCAUGGUUGCUCACCGCUGAUGCCUGGCUUUUACAGGCAGCAUGAAUUCAUGCGGAAUUUCAGCAACUUGCAGUCUCACUAUGCAUGACUUGGAACUGGCUACAUCGACCAACCUGACCUCCAGAGCCACCUGCCUCUGUCUCCCGAGUGCUGAGAUUAAAGGCAUACCUCACCACCCCCACCAGCAACACUUGGCACAGAUCUGUCGUGUGAAACUUUUAUCAUUCAGUCCUUCAAAAUCGGGAAGCCCCAGAGGGGAUUGCUCACGAGGAGAGUGAUGGCUGCGCCAGGUGUGUGACUGACUGCUGUCAAUCUGCUCCAAAGAGUCUAGGAGACUAGUGCACAGGAAACACAGCGCCCAUGUGGACACUGGCUGUGUGUGCUGCACAGCCCUGCGUGUGAAGAGGUCGGCUCACCUGCCCUUCUCUUCCUCACAGGAGAAUUACUGGGGUAGAAGAAAAGGAAAGAGCUCUGAGUUUGUGCAGGUAUGUCCCCUGUGUGAGAGGACAGGGCGGUGGGGACCAGAAAGGCUGUUGAAGAAAACCACUGUCAAUACUCUUGCACUGCCACAUGCUCCCAUGGUUCCUCGGUCACUUUUUAAAGCAGUGCUUGCGACUCCCGAAGGACCAUCAGAAAACACAGGUAUUUACAAUUCACAGCAGAAACACAAUUAUAGUUAUGAAGUAAUAACAUAAAUAAUUUUAUGGUUGGGGUCACCAUGGCAU